AACGUAGGAGACAAACGUUAUCCGGAGUUACUGGGCGUAAAGGGCGUGUAGGUGGUUUCGUAAGUCUGGCGUGAAAUAUCUCGGCUUAACCGAGGCAGGUCGUCGGAUACUGCGGGACUAGAGGACGGUAGAGGCGUGUGGAAUUCCGGGUGUAGUAGUGAAAUGCGUAGAGAUCCGGAGGAACACCAGUGGCGAAGGCGACACGCUGGGCCGUACCUGACACUGAUGCGCGACAGCAUGGGGAGCAAACAGG
rnacentral:rRNA from 1 species